ensembl:lncRNA
GAGAAAUUCAGUGUGCUCAGAUCUAGCCUAAAUGCAUCUGGUUCUUAUAGUACAAUUUUGUUGUGAGUGAGUUCAUACUUCCAGUUUUAUAAAGAGUCUUACUGUAUAUACUUAUGUACAUUGGUUACUUCUACGUUUUACAGAUUGAAGACAGUUACAAAUCUCUGUCUGUCUACAUUAAAAAUUCUGUAAAAAUCACAGAUUUCAGGCCUGGUAGCAUUAUAGCAGACUAUCAAAUCAGUGUAACAACCAACAUCCACAGUAGCACAAAUGGCGGCAACAGCAACGAUUUUGCAUCAGCAAAUUUACAGGUUUCAAGAACUCUCCUGAAUGCGGGAAUCCCUGUAGCUCUGAAGGCUUUUUCUGAAAGUGAAAAUACUAUCCUGUCCACCGCAAAAAAAUGGUAUCCUUUUCAAAAGAUGGAGCUGAGAUGUAAAUACCCAGAGUCUGUUAAUGGUACAAUGAGAUGGACAGUGAAUGACCAAGAUCCUACAGACACUGUUAGAUACUCCAUUUCACCUGACCAUAGUAUUUUCAUUGUAAACAACGCAACAGAGAAAGACACUGAUCAGGAUGGCUAAGUAAGCUCUGGGUCCAGCACUACUCAAGGGACGCUUUGGGAAGGGGAAGCGUUUCGAUGUCCAGGGGUGCUGCUGCAGCCCAGGCUUGGAUUUCCACUGAGGCUGCGCCGGCUUUUUUUAGACUGAGUGGCGGGGGUCUUCUGGUGGUCCGCAGCCACAGGUCCAGAGCGCUUGGGGAGGAAGUGACGUAGCACCUGCGACAUCUUUUGAGCCUCUGAAAAUCGUUCCUCAAACCCACCCACAACAGGGUCGAAAGGCCAUUUGACGAGACCAGUGAGUCAAGGAAAGCCAUCUUCUCCGCAUCCUUGAUCUCAGUGAUGUUCAGCCAGAGGUGGCGCUCCAACACCACCAAGCUGGCCAUGGUUUUUCCGAUUGCGUGCACCGUUGCUUUCAUAACAUGCAAAGCCAGAUUCCUUGCUGUGCGCAGCUCCUUGAAAGCCUCCUGGUGUUGCUGGCCAGACUCGUCCAUACUACGGAGAAGUUUAGCUUGAAACACUUGGAGUACUGCAAUUGAAUGCAGCGCUGAUCCGGCCUGACCGGCCCUUGCAUAUGCCCUGUUCGUCAAAGCCGAGGUGGUCCUGCAGCAGAGUAUGUGAGCAGAGUGGAGCGGGAACUAUUUCCCCUCCGCGCUCAGAGCAUUUAAUUAUCACUCUGCUCCAGCUCCACCCUGGGUUCACAAUUUCCGUUUCCCGCUCCACGCCACGCUCACUGAUACCAGAAACACCGCUCCACCUUCGCUCCGUGGCUAAACUAUUUCAGUAUGUUUGAAAUGUUAUGUUCAUAACAUAACCUAUAUUAAAAUAAAAAAUAAAAUAACCCGCUGAGAAGGACCCGC